UUUUUAAAUUUAAAACAAAGAGAUUUAUUUUUCCACAAAAUACACAAAGUGCAUUCAACUUCAGAUCUCUACAACCCACAUACAUGAACUUGCUUCGGAUACACAGUAACUCUCUUUACUGUGCAGUGACUGACAGCAAUGCAAUACACAAUAAGCCUUUUUGAACAAAUUUUUAAGAGUCAUUUCCCCACUCUUUAAUGCUAAUCUGAUAUAAAACAAGACUUCACUAGUCUGGGCAAGAAAAGAAUAACAUUUCUUCAUUUUCAUUCUUUCAGUUCAAAAUCAUUUACCUAGAACACAGUAAAAUGUACAUAAUUCAGUAUUCUUCCUUUUGCAUCCAUCUCAAAUACCCUCAGAAUGAGUAUGAGCUUUCAAGUACAUAUCCAGAGAUGUCAUUAUUGAGAGAUGAGAGCAAGCAUGCUUUUCCCAAGACUCCUCAGCUCUUUGGGUGUAAGGCACAUCAGUAACAGUGAUUUCUCAGAUUUUUCUAUACCAGCCACAGAACAACACGUGGAAUUAAAAAACAGAUGUAGAUGUUUCCACUGCCUAAUUCUCCAUCUCAAAUCUGUGACAGGUUGGUCACAGUCAAUCAUUCUUAUUACUGGUGCCCUGCUCAAUAUCCCACCAAAAUGUUCAGUUAGCUUCCCACAAAGCUCAUCACCAGAUAGGCUAUGGACGUCUCAGACAUUCUUGCAGACUCUUCAACACACUGUAUGUAAUUCAGAAAAAAAAAUGUUUCUACAAAAUACUUAAAAAAUAAGUUAACCAGUCAAUAGCAGUUGCACCUCUCUUUUUGCUUUAAUUUCAGAGGAUAUUACCACGUAAUCUCUGCAAUCAUUUUACAAUGAUAUUGUAAUCUUCGUAACUCAUAAAGUAACAUUUUUAUUAAAGAAUAUCACCAAAAAAGCCAUGUAUGAAUUCUUGAUAUUGCAUAAUCCUUUCCAUUGAAGGGAAUUACAUCGGGAGAAUACUUCCAGUCAGUUGAGCAUUACAUUUUACUAUAUGCUGUUAGAAGAUUGUAUUUUAGGCACAAAGCCAAAUUAAGAGGUCAAGGCACGCUCGAUGGAAGAAGGCAGCAUGCUACUCAGUGCCACAGUGCGCCACAGAGACCACAGGAACUGUUUCCUGCAGCAACUGCAAAAUUAGCCCAUUGCUUCCAUAUCACACACAUAUUUACCUGAAUUCCACACAGAAAUAGCGACCAGAUUAAAGAAGCAGCUGGACAGACAGCACCCUGCUUUAAUGGAAACCAUUUUCAAAAAGAAAACAAGAUUAAUUUAUUAUUUGGGGGAGGAGGUGGGGAGGGAAUGUUUUGCUAGUUGUAGCCACAGCUUCAGCAGUAACUACAUCAAAUUUUGGCUAGAAAUCUUUUUCGGUCGCCAAAUAAGGAUCUGGGUAAAGGCCAGGAGGAUUUGUUUUACUUCUCUACUUCUCUCUUUAGUCAAAACGAAACGGACCGUGUUCACUUUCAGCAGAAACAACACACAGCAUAUUUCAGUCCUUCAGUCGAUUCCUGCAACCUACUCAAGCCGGAGAGCAGGGAGCCCAAGAUCAACCGGAGCACGACACACUCCUGGGCCCACCGGGCCCUGCGCCGGACUCCGCCGGUAGCUGCAGACCUGGCACGGCAGUAAGCUGUUACAGCAAAGCCUCAGGAACACGCCUGUUGCAUCUGAGCGGGCCGCGGGAGUAGCAAAAGUGGCAGAGUAAUAAUGCCGUCGACAAGUACCCCGGUGCUCCGUUAUCUCUCCGUUACAAAGGAGCACUGCCGUGCACACACGCCCCCCCAACCUGUGCCGCUCUGAGCACACCCCCGGGGGCCGCCCCGCCCUCUCCCCCCACCGCACCGCCCCCCGGCGCUGUCGGGGGCAGGGACGGCUUCUCGUAUCGUUCUCUUCAGGGGCCUCGGGACAGCGCGUUCGCGAGAGGCGAUACCCGAGCAGCGUGCUCAGGAAACCGAAACUUCCCUGCCCCGUGCGAGCCCGCCGCCCCCCACCCCGCGGGAGCCUCCUCCGGCCGAGCGGCGGGAAACCGGGGGGAAGUUGGGUCAGCCGGUACCCGUGCCGGGGGCGGGCCGCCGAGGCGAGCUGACCCGGGCAUGUGGGGCCGCCGUGGCCCGGGCCCUGCGCGCCGCGGGACGCAGACACUUACUUGGGCUCCGCUCACCACGACCCCUGCCAUGGCUGCGGGGGGGGACGCGCCGGGGCUUCCACAGGCUCGGGGCUGGGCCGGGGCCGCCGCCGCUUCCUCGCAGCAGUCAGCUGACGCGGGC
rnacentral:lncRNA from 1 species